AUCUCAGAACCCGCUAGCCAAGCUCCAUGGCUCCUCCAUCUUGGAAAGACACCACCUGGAGUUCGGCAAAACGCUGCUCAGAGAAGAGAACCUGAAUAUCUUUCAAAACCUCAAUCGCCGACAACAUGAGCAUGCCAUCCACAUGAUGGACAUCGCCAUCAUAGCCACCGACCUCGCCUUGUAUUUCAAGAAGAGGACAAUGUUCCAGAAGAUCGUGGAUCAGUCUAAGACGUACGAGACGGAACAGGAGUGGACGCAGUACAUGAUGCUGGAGCAGACGCGGAAGGAGAUCGUUAUGUGAGUUGAGACAGGGAUCAAACCCUGAUCCUCUUAAGCCCCGGGUCACGAGGUGAGACGCUGCACUGACAGCUUUAGCUGACCUCGACAAGCCCCGGCAGACUUUCCAUUUUGGAGGUCUCCAACAUAUGAAA